AGCAAAUUAUAUAUAGGUGUUUGAAAGUGUUUUCAGUUUCUUAUUAAAAAGGUAUACAGUUUUUCCAAGAAAAAAGUUUUUUUAAAAAAAGUUUUUUUAAGCGCGCGUAGUAAGUUUAUUGUAAAUAAAUAAAAUGUUAUAAUAAAAUUUCAUCAAUUUGUAACCAAUUAAAGUUUUGUAAAAGUCAGUUUUUGUUCUUUCAUCUUAAUGCCUUUAAAAAAAAUAUAUUAUUUUUUAACCCACCCGUUCGUUCAACGGGUACCCGGGCAAGCAUUUUUCCGAUUUUUGACAGCCUUGUUGAUGUAGUAAAGAGAUAGUAGCCUUGUUAGAAAAUCAGGAUGAGAAUGAUGUUAUUGAAGUUACCAUGAUUCUAUCUGUCGCUGAAACCCUGACUGACAAAGACAGAGACGAGGAAAAAGAUGGAGAACAUGGUAAAAGCAUUAAUCAUCUUGGAGCUGGUAUACUUAACCAACAAGCAGAGGUUGUCAUAAAUGAAAAAGAUGGCGAAUUGCCUGGUAAUUCAAAUGAUAAACACUGAUGGUGUUGUAAUUAACAGUGUAGACAGUGAUACUGGCAAUACUAACGAUACAAGUGAUAUCUUUAAAGACGAGGUCAUGCCAUGUUAUAGUAAUAAAAAGAGAAUCGUUAUUUUGUCAAAUGUAAUGAAGCUGUUGGUACACUUCUAAGAAAAAAAAACAAAGACCGUAUUUGAAGUAACACUUGCGGUGCUUGUUUUGGAGCUAAAGUACCAGAGUUCUAAGAAAUUACUUUGAAAUCGCCUGUUGACGAUGAUUGUGUUCUACCUUACAACUUUUUAUGUUUGUUUCUAGAUGAUAAGUUUAUACAAAACGUUUCCAAUAAGUCCUCAAAGUAUGGUUGCAGGAAAGGAUACCCUAAGAAGGCUUUCCUAAUGAACAAGGAUAGUAUAUUAACCUCUAUUGCAGUAACGUAUAUGACUGGUUAUUUAGUACCUGCUAAUAGAAGGUUGUAUUGCAAAGAAAAAGAAGACGCUCAAAAUAUGUUCAUCAAAAGAGCUAUUUCUAGGGACAUUUUUAAUGAUGUGCUCAAGUUUACCUACUUUGUUGAUGAGCAUAAUGUAGAUCUCACUAAUGCAUUUUUGGAGAGUUUGCCCAUUUUUUGAUCAAAUUAACAGCUCCGCAAAAAGGUUAGUGCAUCAGUCUGAGUUUUUCAGUGUCGAUCAGACGAUGGUCAGAUAUUUUGGACUUCAUCCACUGAAACAAGCCAUUCGAGAAAAGCCUGAAAGGUAUGACUAGAAGGUUUGGUGUCUAGCAACUGCUGAGGGAGAUCUUUUGGCCUGUCAGCCUUAAAAACAAAAAUUAAAAACAAUGGGCUUGGUCAGGGCCCCUAUGUUGUUUUGAGUCUUUCUGAGCAGUAUGUUUUGAAGAAAGGGACCAAAGUUGCUUUUAUUUACCAGGACUUUGCGAGAGGUACAGUGGCAAGAACAAGGCAUACAUCAAGCUUUCUUGUCCUUGUAUGGUGAUUGACUACAACAAGAAAAUGGGUGGAGUUGACUUGUUUGACCAGAAUACAAAAAAAUACAACAUCUCAACCCGUCUUAAAAAGUGGUAUUGGUCAUUCAGGACAUGAUUCUUGAAUGUGCAGAUGAAUCAGGCUUGGCGAUUGUAUCACCACACCUGGAGAAACCGGUAUAUAAUGGAUCAGGAAAAGAAUCAUCAGGAAAAUGAUGAACUUAAUGAUAAUCUUAAUGCAGCUGAUUAUCCAAGUUCGCAAAAAAUAGGCAAAGGAUUAUAAGAAACAAGGGUACGAUGAAGAGAAAAGAAGAGAAGAAGGUAUAUGAGAUCACAUUGUUGGAAUUUAUUCGACAGUCAGUCGAAUUUAUGUUAAUGAAUCACUCUAACCAUAAAUAAAACUUGUUAGUUUCCUAGAAAGAGUUAUCCAGGUUGUCUACCAACAGCAACAAGCAAUCAGGUAUGACCACACCAGAGCUCACUUUUUUAUAAAACAGAGGUUAAAAAAAUGCCAAUAUUGUCAUGACAGAAGCAAUUUUAGAUGCGAAAGUUGUGAUAUUGCUCUACACUCUGGCUGCUUUGUAAACUACCACAGACCUGAAAAUAAGUUAUAAAAACACUUAUAUAACUUAAUAAUAUUAUUUUGAAGAAUAGCGUUUUUAAUAAAUUUUUAUUAUUUUCCCUAUUAUGUAGUUAAGUUUAAAAAUUAUUUCUAUAACUCUAAUUUGCAAGCGUAAUCGAGAGGUUUAA
rnacentral:lncRNA from 1 species